rnacentral:rRNA from 1 species
UUUUGUAUAAUGGGUCAGCGACUUAUAUUCUGUAGCAAGGUUAACCGUAUAGGGGAGCCGAAGGGAAACCGAGUCUUAACUGGGCGUUAAGUUGCAGGGUAUAGACCCGAAACCCGGUGAUCUAGCCAUGGGCAGGUUGAAGGUUGGGUAACACUAACUGGAGGACCGAACCGACUAAUGUUGAAAAAUUAGCGGAUGACCUGUGGCUGGGGGUGAAAGGCCAAUCAAACCGGGAGAUAGCUGGUUCUCCCCGAAAGCUAUUUAGGUAGCGCCUCGUGAAUUCAUCUCCGGGGGUAGAGCACUGUUUCGGCUAGGGGGCCAUCCCGGCUUACCAACCCGAUGCAAACUGCGAAUACCGGAGAAUGUUAUCACGGGAGACACACGGCGGGUGCUAACGUCCGUCGUGAAGAGGGAAACAACCCAGACCGCCAGCUAAGGUCCCAAAGUCAUGGUUAAGUGGGAAACGAUGUGGGAAGGCCCAGACAGCCAGGAUGUUGGCUUAGAAGCAGCCAUCAUUUAAAGAAAGCGUAAUAGCUCACUGGUCGAGUCGGCCUGCGCGGAAGAUGUAACGGGGCUAAACCAUGCAC